rnacentral:rRNA from 1 species
AUUGAACGCUGGCGGCAGGCCUAACACAUGCAAGUCGAGAGAGCGGCUGACGGGUGAGUAAUGUCUGGGAAACUGCCUGCUGGAGGGGGAUAACUACUGGAAACGGUAGCUAAUACCGCAUACCCUCAAAUGUGCACAGAUGGGAUAAGCUAGUAGGUGGGGUAACGGCUCACCUAGGCGACGAUCCCUAGCUGGUGUGAGAGGAUGACCAGCGACACUGGAACUGUGACAAGGUUAGGACUCCUACGGGAGGCAGCAGUGGGGAUCAUUGAACAAUGGGAGUAAGCCGCAUGAGCCCAAGCCGCGUGUGUGAAAAAGGCAUUCGGGUUGUAAGGAACUUUCAGCGGGGAGGCGUUACCCGCAGAAGAAGCACCGGCUAAGUCCGUGCCAGCAGCCGCCGUAAUAC